rnacentral:rRNA from 1 species
CGUGAUGGUGGGGACUCAUAGGAGACNGCCGGGGUCAACUCGGAGGAAGGUGGGGACGACGUCAAGUCAUCAUGCCCCUUAUGUCUUGGGCUUCACACAUGCUACAAUGGCCGGUACAANGNGCUGCGAUACCGUGAGGUGGAGCNAAUCCCAAAAAGCCGGUCUCAGUUCGGAUUGGGGUCUGCAACUCGACCCCAUGAAGUCGGAGUCGCUAGUAAUCGCAGAUCAGCAANGCUGCGGUGAAUA